GGACGGGGGGGGCAAGUGUUCUUCGGAAUGACUGGGCGUAAAGGGCACGUAGGCGGUGAAUCGGGUUGAAAGUGAAAGUCGCCAAAAAAGUGGCGGAAUGCUCUCGAAACCAAUUCACUUGAGUGAGACAGAGGAGAGUGGAAUUUCGUGUGUAGGGGUGAAAUCCGAUAAUAUACGAAGGAACGCCAAAAGCGAACGGCAGCUCUCUGG
rnacentral:rRNA from 1 species